GCUGAAACUCCCAUUAAAAGGAAAGUUAUCCUGUCCAGAAUCAGUCUGGGGAGACCCAAACUUUCUGCCUUCUCCAGGUUGAGCUGAUCUAACUGCAUCAAUGAAGGAGUGUUUCCUCAAGCAUCAUUUAUAGUCUUCAUUGCUGGAAUAUUUGAGAGAGAGAUUCUUCUUGGUCCUCUGCUACAGAGCAUAAACCAAGAUAUGGUUCAUCACUUUCCCAGAGUUUAGAAGCCAUGCACAUACCACGAAGAGAAAGAUGAGAAUUCUUCUCUUUCAGGUCAGCUGCUUUUUGGGCACAUGACAAAUACAUGUCUCUGUAUUUCCUCAUUAGGAC
rnacentral:lncRNA from 12 species